GAUUACUUGCCAAGCGCUUAAAACCCAAAGGACUUGACGGUACCCUAAAUCCAUCUAGAGGAGCCUGUCCUAUAAUCGAUAACCCACGUUUAACCUCACCUCUUUUAGUAAACCAACCUGUAUACCUCCGUCGUAAGCUUACCUCGUGAGCGCCUCAUAGUGAGCAUAAUGCUUUACAACAAUACGUCAGGUCAAGGUGCAGCUAAUGAAGUGGAAAGAGAUGGGCUACACUUUCUAUUUUAGAAAACACGGAAAACUAUUAUGAAACCUAAUUUGAAGGCGGAUUUAGCAGUAAAAAGAAAUCAGCAUACUCAUUUUAACUCGGCACUGGGGUGUGUACACACCGCCCGUCACCCUCUUCAAAUAUUUUAUC
rnacentral:rRNA from 1 species